AGAAAAUUGUUGUUUAGCCGGGUGAAUUUGCCAGGUGACAAACACCUCGCAAAAUAUUGCACUUGCGGGAUGCAUUCCACCUCGCAACCCAGAUUUCUAAAAAAAUAAAUAAAAAAUGUUUUUCCUAUCUCGCAACGGAGGGAGGGAAGUUUGAAAUUUUGGAAAAAAACGUUGUAGAGUGUUAAACACCCCGCAACAAUUUUUAAAAAAGUUUUUAAAAAAAUAAAUAUUACACUUACUGAGAAGUCAGGGUAGCAGGUGACUUUUUGUUGAUUUUACUGACACAAAAGUUGCGUAGUGCCAAUCACCCCGCAAGUCUCUACACCAUUUUACUUUGCGAGGUGAGAACCACUCCGCAAGGUUUUUUUUUUAAAUUUUGAAAAAAAUAAAUCUAGAAAUUAAUAAUGAUAGAAAGUGGUAGGUACAUGUGUCAGACAAAGAGGUUGCGGGGUGAGAAACAUGCCGCAAGUGUCAAUGAAAAUAAAGUUUGUAGGGUAUUUCGCACCUCGCAAAUGUUAUUUAAUAUUUCCUUUUCAUCUCCACCUCCCACGUUCUCAUUCUCUCUAUUUUUCCAUUUCCACUCUGCCUCCCACACUUGCAUCAUUCACUGAAGAAAAACAAAAUAUUCACAGAACCUUUAACCCAACAAGAACCUCACAAGCUGCAUCGUUCCUUCCAAACCUUCCACAAGUUGCAAUCUCGUUUCAAGCCUUCUCACAAGAUACAAUUGUUUGUUCCUUUCUAGGGUUUCAACAUUUGGGUUCAGGUCUUUUCUCUCGGAUGGAUGCGAAAUAAGAUGGCUCGAGUUAGAGUGAUACAAUAAAUUGACAUUGGCCUUGAAGUGUUUUGGCUUGCUCUUUACUUUGUUGCUGUAGUCAAUCUUGCUGCUCUUUACUUUGUUGCUGUAGUCACUCUUGCUGCACUUGUUGGACAGCAUUUGGUGAGGUGAUAAUCAUUAGUUUUGGCCUUUUUUAAUGUUCACUGCUUUGAUUAUUCUUGCUGCACUUGUUUAAUGUUCAACUGAUAUUUUGAUAAUCAUUAGUUUUGUUUUUUCUAUCAUUAGGGGCUGUUUGUGUUAAUUAAGGAUGAUAGAUGUUGGGGUCUACUACACUUUUAAUUGAAACCAAACAUGUUAUUUUAAUUAGACAUAGAUUUAAAUUAUUGUUAAAAAUUAAAUAGUCUUUAAAUUUAGACCACUCUCUCUAAUAACUAAAUGAAUGUUAACAAUGGUGGAAAUAAACUCUAUGCAAAUGUUGUAACUACUGGGUGCGAUAUUUCCAUUUUUUUUCAAACAGAAGUUACAUCAGUAUAUAAAGCUAGUUGGUUAAGAAACCUAACUAACUAACCAAUUGUUAGUUAGUUAGUUUAAACCACUAAAAAAUCACUAACAACCUAGGAUUAUUAUGUUUCAUGGAUUAAUAACUAAAUAUCAUGGCUAGGUGUAGAGGUGUCAAGUAGAAAACUCUAUAUAUCCAUAAUAUCUUAAGACAACCUACUAUUGCCAGACUCUCUGCAGAGGCAGAAUAUGAAAACCAUGUCAGCUUUGACAUCUGAACUAUUAUAGAUGAAGCAAUUGUUGAGAAGUGCGAUAGACAUAGAUUUAAAUUUUUGUUAAAAAUUAAAUAGUCUUUAAAUUUAUACCAUGUUAAAAAUUAUUGUUGCAGGGGCAACUCUGUAAUGUCUAAUUUCCGGUUCAGUUUAAUAUUUCAGUUUAAUAGCUAACUAAAUUUUUGAAUAUAUGAUGAUAUCCUUGUUGUUGAUGUUUGAAUAAAAUUGUGUGAUGACUUGUUGGUUUAUGUGUAUCUCUUCAUAGAACCCCAUGCUAUUUAUUAAGUUUUGAUGCUGCCUCUAUUUUUCUCAUGUGAUCCAAUAAGUGCAUAUUUAAGGUUCUUGAAGUUUAGUUUGAUGGCUUCAUAUUAAAGGUUAUAUUUAGAUUUCUUUUCUAUGGAAUGACAUUUAAUUUUCUUUUCUAUAUUUUGUAUGUAACAUUGAGAAAAAAACAAAUGGAGUUGGAGGAAGCAUUGAGACUUUCACAAGAACAAAUGAUGCUUACUCAACAACAAAUUCAACAACAAGUGCAACAACAAAUACAACAACAAAUGCAACAACAAAUGCAACAAAUGCAACAAUUCUUUCGACAACAAUAUGGUGGUGGUGGAUUUGGAGCGGUUGGUAACCAAGGAGUAGUAGACGAGAAUGAUGAAGAAAACGAAAAUAAUGCGGACGACCCGGAUCCUAAGUGAAUAUUAUUUUGAAUUUAAAUAUUUUGGAUAAUCAUGAAUUUCUUUAUAUUAAAUAUACAUUUCUUUAUAUUAAUUAUGAAUUUCUUUAUAUUAA